UUGCUCCUACGGGGCGCAGCAGUAGGGAAUAUUGCUCAAUGGGGGAAACCCUGAAGCAGCAACGCCGCGUGGAGGAUGAAGGUUUUCGGAUUGUAAACUCCUUUUGUUAGAGAAGAUAAUGACGGUAUCUAACGAAUAAGCACCGGCUAACUCCGUGCCAGCAGCCGCGGUAAUACGGCGGGUGCACGCGUUAUUCGGAAUCACUGGGCGUAAAGAGCGCGUAGGCGGGAUAGCAAGUCAGAUGUUAAAUCCUAUGACUUAACCUUAGAACUGCAUU
rnacentral:rRNA from 1 species